UAUUGACAGAGUAGAGAUUGAGAGUGUAGAGAUUAGAGAGAGAAGUGUAGAGAUUAGAGUGAGAGAGAUCAUGCUUUAAUUGCCAAAUAUUCCCUAAGAUAUCAAAAUCUUCUUUAAGAUUCACAAGAUCAAUUACAAUCUUGCAAAGCAAAUUCUCUCUCCCUCACUUACAAUUUUCGGCCACUCCACCUCUCUCUCUCACUCAUCAUUUUCGCCCAACACACACUCAUCUCCUUCAUCUCUCAUUUCCACCAUUUUCCUCCAUUGAUGAAAACCUUCGGAGCUUCCAAAAAUAUUACCAAACACCUCAAUCCACUCUAAAAUCUUCCAUAAACACAUUCUAGCCACUUAUAAUCAAGAGAAUCCUUGAAGAAGAGCUCCAAAGUUAGAGUGAGAAAGUGUGAACUUUGGUAAGAAUUUGGGCCCGAGCGAGACGAAGAAGUAAGUUGCCUGAUUUCUUUCCAGGAUUAGCGAAGGACUUCAGACUAAGCGAGGAGCGAGAUUGGACUGGUGCUGGUGGGGAAUUGUUAGAGGAUGUAUUUAUUUUACCGCAUUUCCAUUUUGACGAUAAAGUCUUGAUGA